rnacentral:rRNA from 1 species
GACGAACGCUGGCGGCGUGCUUAACACAUGCAAGUCGAACGGAAAGGCCCUGCUUUUGUGGGGUGCUCGAGUGGCGAACGGGUGAGUAACACGUGAGUAACCUGCCCUUGACUUUGGGAUAACUUCAGGAAACUGGGGCUAAUACCGGAUAGGAGCUCCUGCUGCAUGGUGGGGGUUGGAAAGUUUCGGCGGUUGGGGAUGGACUCGCGGCUUAUCAGCUUGUUGGUGGGGUAGUGGCUUACCAAGGCUUUGACGGGUAGCCGGCCUGAGAGGGUGACCGGCCACAUUGGGACUGAGAUACGGCCCAGACUCCUACGGGAGGCAGCAGUGGGGAACAUUGCACAAUGGGCGGAAGCCUGAUGCAGCAACGCCGCGUGCGGGAUGACGGCCUUCGGGCUGUAAACCGCUUUCGCCUGUGACGAAGCGUGAGUGACGGUAAUGGGUAAAGAAGCACCGGCUAACUACGUG